rnacentral:piRNA from 1 species
UGAAAUAUCUCAAAAAGUUGAGCGUG